CUAAAUUAUUAGAUGCCGAAAGGCUCAUUAAGUACCUGAAUGUAAUUGCAUCCAUGACCGGAGAAUAUGUUUCUUCAUAAUCAACUCCUGGUUUUUGAGAGAAACUUUGUGCAACAAGUCGGGCUUUAUAUCGUGUGAUCUCAUAUUUUUCAUUUCUUUUUCGCACGAAUACUCACUUGUAUCCAACAGGUUUUACACUCUUAGAUGCAGUGACAAUAGGUCCAAAGACAUUUCUUUUAUUAAGGGAGUGCAACUCAACUUGCAUGGCAUUUUUCCAUUUCUCCCAAUCCGGCCUUUUUUAGCACUCGGAUAAUGUCUUUGGAUCUGGAUCAUCAUUCUCUUGAUCGAUCUCUUUAAAU
rnacentral:sRNA from 1 species